rnacentral:rRNA from 1 species
GAUGAACGCUGGCGGCGUGCCUAAUACAUGCAAGUCGAGCGAACAGAUAAGGAGCUUGCUCCUUUGACGUUAGCGGCGGACGGGUGAGUAACACGUGGGUAACCUACCUAUAGGACUGGAAUAACUCCGGGAAACCGGGGCUAAUGCCGGAUAACAUUUAGAACCGCAUGGUUCUAAAGUGAAAGAUGGUUUUGCUAUCACUUAUAGAUGGACCCGCGCCGUAUUAGCUAGUUGGUAAGGUAACGGCUUACCAAGGCAACGAUACGUAGCCGACCUGAGAGGGUGAUCGGCCACACUGGAACUGAGACACGGUCCAGACUCCUACGGGAGGCAGCAGUAGGGAAUCUUCCGCAAUGGGCGAAAGCCUGACGGAGCAACGCCGCGUGAGUGAUGAAGGUCUUCGGAUCGUAAAACUCUGUUAUUAGGGAAGAACAAAUGUGUAAGUAACUGUGCACGUCUUGACGGUACCUAAUCAGAAAGCCACGGCUAACUACGUG